AAAAUCCGUCGAUUUUUAAAAUCGUGAGGGUUCAAGUCCCUCUAUCCCCAAAAAAGGCCUAUUUG
rnacentral:tRNA from 1 species